GACGAACGCUGGCGGCGUGCCUAAUACAUGCCAGUUGAGCGCUGAAGGUUGGUACUUGUACCAACUGGAUGAGCAGCGAACGGGUGAGUAACGCGUGGGGAAUCUGCCUUUGAGCGGGGGACAACAUUUGGAAACGAAUGCUAAUACCGCAUAAAAACUUUAAACACAAGUUUUAAGUUUGAAAGAUACAAUUGCAUCACUCAAAGAUGAUCCCGCGUUGUAUUAGCUAGUUGGUGAGGUAAAGGCUCACCAAGGCGAUGAUACAUAGCCGACCUGAGAGGGUGAUCGGCCACAUUGGGACUGAGACACGGCCCAAACUCCUACGGGAGGCAGCAGUAGGGAAUCUUCGGCAAUGGACGAAAGUCUGACCGAGCAACGCCGCGUGAGUGAAGAAGGGUUUCGGAUCGUAAAACUCUGUUGGUAGAGAAGAACGUUGGUGAGAGUGGAAAGCUCAUCAAGUGACGGUAACUACCCAGAAAGGGACGGCUAACUACGUG
rnacentral:rRNA from 1 species